CGAAUAUACCUACGUGCAUGCACUGAAUUUCAUCCAAUCUCUGAAGUUAAGCAUCAUCGAACGUGUUCAGUACUUGGUAGGAUGAGCGCCAGGGAACUC